rnacentral:rRNA from 1 species
UGGGGAAUAUUGCACAAUGGGCGAAAGCCUGAUGCAGCGACGCCGCGUGAACGAAGAAGUAUUUCGGUAUGUAAAGUUCUAUCAGCAGGGAAGAAAAAUGACGGUACCUGACUAAGAAGCACCGGCUAAAUACGUGCCAGCAGCCGCGGUAAUACGUAUGGUGCAAGCGUUAUCCGGAUUUACUGGGUGUAAAGGGAGCGCAGGCGGCAGGGCAAGUCAGAUGUGAAAACCCGGGGCUCAACUCCGGGACUGCAUUUGAAACUGUCCGGCUGGAGUGCAGGAGAGGCAGGCGGAAUUCCUAGUGUAGCGGUGAAAUGCGUAGAUAUUAGGAGGAACACCAGUGGCGAAGGCGGCCUGCUGGACUGUAACUGACGCUGAGGCUCGAAAGCGUGGGGAGCAAACAGGAUUAGAUACCCUGGUAGU